GAAACGGGUGGUAAUGCCGGAUGCUCCGGUUGGAUGCAUGUCCUUCCGGGAAAGAUUUCAUCGGUAUGGGAUGGGGUCGCGUCCUAUCAGGUAGUCGGCGGGGUAACGGCCCACCGAGCCUACGACGGGUAGCCGGCCUGAGAGGGCGACCGGCCACAUUGGGACUGAGAUACGGCCCAGACUCCUACGGGAGGCAGCAGUGGGGAAUAUUGCACAAUGGGCGCAAGCCUGAUGCAGCGACGCCGCGUGCGGGAUGACGGCCUUCGGGUUGUAAACCGCUUUUGAUCGGGAGCAAGCCUUCGGGUGAGUGUACCUUUCGAAUAAGCACCGGCUAACUACGUGCCAGCAGCCGCGGUAAUACGUAGGGUGCAAGCGUUAUCCGGAAUUAUUGGGCGUAAAGGGCUCGUAGGCGGUUCGGCGCGUCCGGUGUGAAAGUCCAUCGCUUAACGGUGGAUCCGCGCCGGGUACGGGCGGGCUUGAGUGCGGUAGGGGAGACUGGAAUUCCCGGUGUAACGGUGGAAUG
rnacentral:rRNA from 1 species